rnacentral:rRNA from 1 species
CCUACGGGAGGCAGCAGUGAGGAAUAUUGCGCAAUGGGGGCAACCCUGACGCAGCGACGCCGCGUGGAUGAUGAAGGCCUUCGGGUUGUAAAAUCCUGUCAGAUGGGAAGAAGUGGUAUCUACCCAACACGUAGAUACUUUGACGGUACCAUCAAAGGAAGCACCGGCUAACUCCGUGCCAGCAGCCGCGGUAAU